CUUAAAUCGUGACUAAGUAAGCCAUUUAAGUCUAAACCAAGGCGAAAACUUAAUAUAUUUCAUACCUCCGUAAAAAAAGUCGAGUUUGUCUUGUGAAAAACGGCUCCAAAUUUCGACUUGUUAAACAAAGUCUAAAUCAAGUUUUAUUUUUGACCCGGGCAGGUAGAAAAAAAAAUAUAUAAGAUUGAAAGUUAGGUUUUUGUCUCGGUAAUAAAUAUUGAAUCUGCAUCGAGGCGUCAGGCGCCGAUCUACAGGAGACGCGAUACUUCCUGCAUACAAAACGCGAUACGCGUAUUAACACUUUUUACAAGGCCUAAGUAAACUUUUACUUGGCUCGGUACCUGAUGACGACACAAUUGACCACUGAUUUUAAAAUAAAAUUAAUAAUGAAAACAACCGAUCUCUAUAUUGAGUUCUCCCCGUAACCCAGAGCCCAGGAAAUAGACAAUGGACGUAAAACAAGAGCAGUUCAAUUAAAUCUAGCGAUACAAGCUAUUGGCGCCGACAAGUCGCAUUCUAUAUCUAUAUCUUGUCAGUAAAUAUCUCUCGGAGAUGAUGACUUAUAUAUAUUUUCUUGGUUUUUUUCGGUUGACAAACAAAUUCUUCCCUUUUCGACAAAAGUUCAGUCAAUAACUCAAGAUCGAGAUAACGAUUGGUUGGGUUUUUUUAAAUGGACCGUGACUAAAAAUAAACACUAGUUAUUUUUGUGUUGGGCAUUACUGGACUAGGAUAAUUAUAAUGAUUUAUUUUUUUACAAGGCUAGAGUAUUUUUUACUUUUUUUUUUUAAAUUCCUCAGCCGGCAAUUAGGGAGCAGUCGGAUCCUCAAGAAACAAUUAGUGGGCCUUGAGUUUAUGGAUUACCGCAUUUUUUUCAUUUGCAAUACCUGUUUUUUUAACAACUAUCGUUAAAGGACUCGUUUUUAGUCCUCGUCAGUUAUUUCGAUGUUUUUUUUUUACAAGUUUCCUUAUAGAUUUUUGUCGAGUUUUAUUUUAAAAUUUAAAAUGUUAUAAAUUAUUUAAAAGUCGUUUUAACGAUCAUGAUAAUAAUAAUAAUAUUGAAACGAGUUUCACUUGGAGGGAGUUGUUCUGAACAGUAACAUUUUGUCUCUACAGUCUCGAAAAUCUUUAAACCUGAUCAGACAGACAAAUAUAUUUAUUAUUGAGAUGAUUAAAUUAUUGAUGAUAAUGUGGAUCGCAGUAUCACCUUUCGAAGCAAUCGAGAAUGACAAACUGUCGCAGUGGUCAUUCGAAGAAAUCGGCUGCAAGGGAUUUUAUGAUAAGAAAAUGUUUGAGAGUCUAGACAACGUUUGUCAAGAGUGUCAUAGUUUAUAUCAGGAAUCAAUCGUUUAUAAUACGUGCAGAAACGAUUGUUUUACAACAGAAUAUUUUCGAGACUGUCUAGAAACAUUGACCUCACACACUAAAACCGAGAUAAGCGCUUUCAAAAUAAUGAGUAAACGAUUACAAGGUUACGAAUAAUACUCUUAUUAUUUUUUAUAAAAAUUAUAAAUAAA